UACGUAGGGGGCAAGCGUUGUCCGGAUUUAUUGGGCGUAAAGAGCUCGUAGGCGGUUCGGUAAGUCGGGUGUGAAACCUCCAGGCUCAACCUGGAGUCGCCACUCGAUACUGCUGUGACUAGAGUCCGGUAGGGGAGCGUGGAAUUCCUGGUGUAGCGGUGAAAUGCGCAGAUAUCAGGAAGAACACCUAUGGCGAAGGCGGCUCUCUGGGACGGUACUGACGCUGAGACGCGAAAGCGUGGGGAGCGAACAG
rnacentral:rRNA from 1 species